AGCAUUUGAAAUGAUGAUUCCACAAAGUAGGUUGAACGAUUUUUAUGUUCCACAGUAGCAUUUCACCAAAAGGCAGUGUUUCUUGUGAAACCUGGGCUCAGGUGCAUUGUAAAUACCGAGGAACUAGAAAGGCAUCUCAGAAAUAACAAUGCAUUCAUCUGAGCAUUGACAUUUCAUGCUACAUCUCUAAUACAUUUAAUGUUUUUCUCAUAAUACAUGUAAACAAGUUGUAAGAAAAAUCACUGAAGUUUUACCUUCCUUUUGGAAAGAGAAAAUUCCUUUUCACAUAACUUGCAACGUGUAGCCUCUUUGUCCUUCAACCAAACCUGGCCCUGGAGAAAAAAUAUUGUAAAUAUAUGUAUCUGAUGAAGUUAAACUUUGGGUUCCAGAGAACAAGACAAAUCAACAGCAGUAUUUACUGCCUGAAUUAUUGCAUGCCCUUAGGUCAGUAUAAUGUCACAGAGACUCUAAAUAAGUACAAGGCCACUCUAAAACAAUGCAAAACUUUGUGAGAUGAGACAGAGCAGGAGGUGCAAAGCGAACGUGCUUGAGGUAGUAAAGCUGGUCAAGGGCUGAGCCAGAAAAAGCAGAAAGGUAUGUAUCUCAAGUCUCAGAGCUGAAGUCUAUUUCCCUGCCCAUCACGCAGGAACAGUCCCCAAGUUGCAGAAAAAACAAAACAAAACAGGUCAGUGUGACACAGUAAUAAGAACUGUUAAUUUCCUUCUGUCUAAACCAAUUAAUAAAACCAGGAAUCUGCUCAACAAAACCAUUUCGGACAUCUUCACUUGCACUGAAGUAAUAUGCAAGUUCACAUGCCACAUGUUCAAACGUGCAGACAAAAUCUCUGCUCUCAGUGCUCCCGGCCUAUCUUUAAAGUUCCAAACCUCUUAACAUUUCAGAUCAUAUUUUAUCAGCUUUGGUGCUACAAGUUUACUUAAUUCCUCAGAUGAUCAAAUAUUUACUGAUCAUUGAGAAGUAAUACAUAAUUUAAGCUCAGCUGGCUACAUUCUCUCCCAGAUACGCUUUGUAAAAUACCAAAUGGUGCACCAUCAGAAG